rnacentral:rRNA from 1 species
CGGACGGGUGAGUAACGCGUGGGUAACCUGCCUCACACUGGGGGACAACAGUUAGAAAUGACUGCUGAUACCGCAUAAGCGCACAGGACCGCAUGGUCUAGUGUGAAAAACUCCGGUGGUGUGAGAUGGACCCGCGUUUGAUUAGCUAGUUGGUGGGGUAACGGCCUACCAAGGCGACGAUCAAUAGCCGACCUGAGAGGGUGACCGGCCACAUUGGGACUGAGACACGGCCCAA